rnacentral:rRNA from 1 species
UACGAAGGGGGCUAGCGUUGCUCGGAAUCACUGGGCGUAAAGCGCACGUAGGCGGAUCUUUAAGUCAGGGGUGAAAUCCUGGAGCUCGACUCCAGAACUGCCUUUGAUACUGGGGAUCUCGAGUCCGGAAGAGGUGAGUGGAACUCCGAGUGUAGAGGUGAAAUUCGUAGAUAUUCGGAAGAACACCAGUGGCGAAGGCGGCUCACUGGUCCGGUACUGACGCUGAGGUGCGAAAGCGUGGGGAGCAAACAGG